GCCCCCGUAGCUCAGUUGGAUAGAGCACCGGCCUCCGGAGCCGGCGGCCCGCGUUCGAGUCGCGGCGGGGGGA
rnacentral:tRNA from 1 species